AUUCCGGUUGAUCCUGCCGGACCCGACUGCUAUUUGGGUGAGGAUAAGCCAUGCGAGUUGGAUGGGAUUCCUAAACUUCCCAUAGCAAACUGCUUAGUAACACAUGAUCAACUUGCCCUAUGGAGAAAAAUAACCUCGGGAAACUGAGGAUAAUGUUUCAUAGUUGAAUAGGCUUGGAAAAGUUUUUCAAUGAAAGGAAUAAGAUAAAUGGUUCUUAUUUGCCAUAGGAUAGGAUCGUGGUCGAUUAUGGUAGUUGGUGAGAUAACGGCUCACCAAGCCGAUAAUCGAUAGGGGCCGUGAGAGCGGGAGCCCCAAGAUGGGUACUGAGACAGCGACCCAGGCCUUACGAGGCGCAGCAGGCGCGAGACCUCCGCAAUACACGAAAGUGUGACGGGGUUACCCAAAGUGUUCUCUUAAGAACUGUGGCAGGUGAGUAAUGUCCCCUGCUAGAAAGGAGAGGGCAAGGCUGGUGCCAGCCGCCGCGGUAAAACCAGCUCUUCAAGUGGUCGGGAUAAUUAUUGGGCUUAAAGUGUCCGUAGCCGGUUUAGUAAGUUCCUGGUAAAAUCGGGUAGCUUAAUUAUCUGCAUGCUAGGAAUACUGCUAUACUAGAGGGCGGGAGAGGUCUGAGGUACUACAGGGGUAGGGGUGAAAUCUUAUAAUCCUUGUAGGACCACCAGUGGCGAAGGCGUCAGACUGGAACGCGCCUGACGGUGAGGGACGAAAGCCAGGGGAGCGAACCGGAUUAGAUACCCGGGUAGUCCUGGCCGUAAACGAUGCAUACUAGGUGAUGGUACGGCCAUGAGCCGUAUCAGUGCCGUAGGGAAACCGUUAAGUGUGCCGCCUGGGAAGUACGGUCGCAAGGCUAAAACUUAAAGGAAUUGGCGGGGGAGCACCACAAGGGGUGAAGCCUGCGGUUCAAUUGGACCCAACGCCGGGAAACUUACCAGGGGAGACAGUAGAAUGAGGGUCAGGUUGACGACCUUACCUGAUGAGCUGAGAGGAGGUGCAUGGCCGUCGCCAGUUCGUGCCGUGAGGUAUCCUGUUAAGUCAGGCAACGAACGAGAUCCGCGCCUUUAUUUGCCAACAAGAAGUUACGACUUCGUUGGGAACACUAAAGGGACCGCCGUCGAUAAGACGGAGGAAGGAGCGGGCAAAGGCAGGUCAGUAUGCCCCGAAACCCCUGGGCUACACGCGGGCUGCAAUGGUAUGAACAAUGGGCUGUAACUCCGAAAGGAGAAACCAAUCCCGAAAUCAUAUCACAGUGGGGAUUGUUGGCUGUAACCCGCCGACAUGAACGUGAAAUCCCUAGUAAUCGUGUGUCAUCAUCGCACGGUGAAUACGUCUCUGCUCCUUGCACACACCGCCCGUCGCUCCAUCCGAGUGUACUAAAAAUGAGGUUUGGUCAGACUGGUCAUAUCGAGUUUCUAGUAUGCGAGGAGGGAGAAGUCGUAACAAGGUAGCCGUAGGGGAUCCUGCGGCUGGAUCACCUCC
rnacentral:rRNA from 1 species